UUUUUCAUUUCCUUUUAUCAACUCAACUGACAUUUACCUACUCUGAUAAUGAGAUGGCACUUUGAGCCAUCAGAGGUGGAUAUGUUUGUGUACGCAUCUUGUUUCUAUCCGCUUUGGGAAGAUCAUCAAGCAAGGGAGCCUUUAUGUCCAACACCUAUAAGCACUACAUGGUGGAUUCUGUCUUAGGCUUCUGCACCUGGACAUGUGACUACAUAGUCAAAUGGGCUCUUUAGAAUUCUGGCAUCAGUUCUCCUUAGUGCAUUUCAGCUCAUUUCUACUGAAGAAUACAUUAUAGAAGUUGAAAUAUUAUGAGAUAAUGUCGAGCAAUUCUUUUUGGGCCAGUAAUCACGGUAAGCGGACUUUUGACUUUGGCAUGGCUUAACAAUAUACAGCUCCAUUGCUUGUAGGCUCAGGUUUCACCAUUAGUCCUCAGCUAUAUGCCUAGCUAACAAUCUGUUUUAUAAAAUAUAUGGUACAGCAUUUAGCUUUAACUAUGUUCUGAUUUUUGCUACUGUCUCUUGCUUUACAUUUUGCAUUAUAUUUUUCGGGUGAUCAUCCUUAUGGUACUAAGAACCAUUGUUGUGUACUUUUGUGUGUGGUUCUUUGUUUUUGAUUUGUUACCAUGUUGGUAAGAAGGCAAUAUUGAGGUUCUUGUCCUGCUUUGCUUCUCAUGGGAAGAAGGAAUGUAGAUUAUAUGCCAAUGAUAAAUCAAUGCAUCAGCAGCUGGAUAUUUAUAAUCUUCAACCGCAAAUGCUGUUAUUUGGUAGACUUGAAUUUUUAUGCCAGAUCUGCAGUGGUAAAAUUAAUUUUUACAAUAAUAUUUGAGUUGUAUAUAACUUUAUGUAAGAAAUAGGUAUUCUACUUGUUGACUUAAAUGUAUUUCCGGUGAGUUAGUGCUACAAUGUACUGGGAAGAUAUAUGGGCUUUUAAACGGUGUUGUUUUGGUCCUUAUAGUUACAGCACAUUUAAUUUCUCCAAGUUCAAUAUAUGUGCUAUUGUCAUAUUUAUUUGUGAACAUCAGUGAUGGCUCAAAACAUUUGAAAGGAGUUCCCUUUGCUCCUCAAGCAACCUCUAGAAUGUUGCAUGACAUGUUUACCUCUGCGACAAAUUAGGUGCACCGAGAUAAUUCAGUAGCCCUCUCUUUUUUCUUUUAUUUUGUGCUAUCUUUAUAAAUUUCAGAAGGUUACCAUCAUUUUUCUCAUGAAAUACAAUGCAUUCUAUUAGGUUAACGUGUUGGGUUACAAUCCAUUGUUGCCAAUCCAAGCCAUGAAUCAGCAGGAUUCAAGCAUGCAUGUCGAGUGCAUGUUGGUAGCCUUCCACCAUUGGCCAAUGUGCAGGUAUGUACUCAUUCUCCUGCUUUACUCCGAAC